rnacentral:lncRNA from 1 species
CAAGUACAAUGCAUGUUUACAACAGCUGGUUGCCUUGCCUUCGAGUGCUGACUAUAGGCUCCUGCACGCAAAGGAAUUGUACUAUAGCAACCACACCUUGCAUAUGCUUCCUUGAACUUCCCGGAAAGGCAAAACACCAGAGGUUCCAGGUAACCUCGGCGCAGAGAAUCGUAGCUUUUGAAGAUAGAAGGGGGCGAAGGAAGAGGGAGGUAGAAUGCUUUGUGCCUGAAUCGCCAAGUCCUUCCAUAGAAGUGAUUCCUUUCGGAACUCAAACAUGUUCAUCUACAUUUCUAAGCUAUCUUCGAAAGAAAAGCUGCCAUCGGAACAGAAUACCGGCGAAGAUCAGGAAUGGUUGUGCUUCGCAAAUGUAAGCAGCAGGCUCCUCCUAGCGGCCAGAAUGAGUCACUGCUGGAGACGUGAUGUUUCGUGACAGAUACUGGUGUGGCUACGUGGGUGUGUACGGGCACGAAUGCACAACUGUCUCUUCUGUCUGGCCCGUUGCUGACAAGUGUGUGAAUGCUGCUGGCUUAGGUAGACCUGCACGAAUAGCCUCCUCUUUUCUCCAUACCUUCGUCCUACGAAAGCCACUGGUAUUUGCUGAACAGCUUGCUCUGUUGCUUUUUUUUUUUUUUUUUUUUUUUAAGCUUUUGCCUCCUCGUUGUACUAUAGGAAGCUGCCCUGCUGGGCGGGUGUUUUAAUUUGACUUGUAAGGCAACUCAUUCAUGUUCCAAAACCAGCGUGAAACCUGAACUCUGCCUCAUACUAGGAUUGCCCGGUCGUUUGUCCCUGAAGGCAGUUCCUUUCCUCUUCCUAGUCUUUCCUCCCUUUUGAGUGAACUUCCCGUUCCUCGGUAACAUCCACCGUUCUACAGUGAAAAGCUGCUACAUAAGCAGCUUGCCUCGCCCAAGGACUUCUCGGAAGCGCCGCGGACCAACUGGCGAGUCAUACAGCACACAUGUUGCCCACUGCGGUCUACCGCCAGAGGGCACAUUACCGGUCGCCACCCCUGCCAGUCAAAUGUCAUUGCACCGUGUGGGAAGGAAAAGCUGCCUAAGCCAUGGCAGUCUACCAUUUUCGUCUCAAAUUUGAGCCAAUCACUUCUUCUCUCCCCAGCUGGGUGUUGUAGUAUUUGCACCAUGCCUAGCUGGACUUAUUUUGU